rnacentral:rRNA from 1 species
UAUUGGUCCAUGGGCGCUAGCCUGAACCAGCCAAGUAGCGUGAAGGAUGACUGCCCUAUGGGUUGUAAACUUCUUUUAUAUGGGAAUAAAGUGCAGUAUGUAUACUGCUUUGCAUGUACCUUAUGAAUAAGGAUCGGCUAACUCCGUGCCAGCAGCCGCGGUAAUACGGAGGAUCCGAGCGUUACCCGGAUUUAUAGGGUUUAAAGGGAGCGUAGGUGGACAGUUAAGUCAGUUGUGAAAGUUUGCGGCUCAACCGUAAAAUUGCAGUUGAUACUGGCAUCCUUGAGUACAGUAGAGGUAGGCGGAAUUCGUGGUGUAGCGGUGAAAUGCUUAGAUAUCACGAAGAACUCCGAUUGCGAAGGCAGCCUGCUGGACUGUAACUGACGCUGAUGCACGAAAGUGUGGGUAUCAAAC